GGAAUAUUGCGCAAUGGGCGAAAGCCUGACGCAGCGACGCCGCGUGGGUGAUGAAGGUCUUCGGAUCGUAAAGCCCUUUUCUGCGUGACGAGAGAGGACGGUAGCGCAGGAAAAAGUGUCGGCUAACUACGUGCCCGCAGCCGCGGUAAAACGUAGGACGCAAACGUUAUCCGGAAUUACUGGGCGUAAAGGGCGCGCAGGCGGUAGGGUAAGUGAGGCAUGAAAGCUCCCUGGCUAAACCGGGAGAGGUUGUCUGAGACUGCCCAACUGGAGUAAGGUAGAGGGAUGUGGAAUUCCGCGUGUAGUGGUGAAAUGCGUAGAGAUGCGGAGGAACACCAGUGGCGAAGGCGGCAUCCUGGACCUUAACUGACGCUGAGGCGCGAAAGCAUGGGUAGCG
rnacentral:rRNA from 1 species